rnacentral:piRNA from 1 species
UAGAUACCUCGAGUUCUGGUUGUGCGC